rnacentral:tRNA from 1 species
GUCCAGGGUAGCCUAGUGGUCAGGGCAUCUGCCCGGUAAGCGGAAGGUCGUGGGUUCGAUUCCCAUCCCUUGACA